ensembl:lncRNA
CGGUAACUGAGUUUAUUGAUGAGUCCAGGGCUCUGGGGUGGCCCUGGCGAGGAGGGGCACAUGACGAGAUGGACACUCAGUGCAGCGUUUGAGGUCUGCUCGGUGGUCGGAGCUUCCAGACUAGGAGAGGGGAGGGCGGGGCCCCACACACUCAGGCCCCCACCCAGUCACCCCCAGACAGAGAUGGACAAUGGCAGGUGCUGAGGGGGCGCGGGCCGAGGAGGCCAGGCCACUCGGCAGCUCACACACCCGCUCCGAGACCCGGGGCUGGUUCCAGGACUCCAAACCAGUGCAAACGACUUAGUGCAAAUUAAUUCAGGAAGGACGGGGACACAGAGUCCUGGAUGCCCCGAGUCUUCUGAGCAAAGGAGAGGAAAGAAGAGAAGAGAAAAGACAGAGGAAAAAAAGGAGGAAGGGGAGAGAGGGAGGCUGGUGGUGUCUCCAGGGCGCAGCAGGGGGUGGCCGCCGAGGUGGAGUGGCCGGGCGGGGGGUGGGGAACCCCGCGGAGGUCACAUCCAUUCCACCCCACCCGCCUCGCCUAGUCUGGUCUCGUCAGUGCCCUUGACUCCCCUGGGUGCUGUCCUGUCUGCCAUGCCAGUCCCAGGGGCGAGCGGCGAGGGCGCACAGUGCCACCAAGGACACCGGGGGCCCUGCCGCGCCAGCCCCUGGGCCGCAGUGCUGCGUGGGAACGCACGUCCGCAGGCUGGGCCCGCGCAGCCUCCCUGCUGCCGAAAUCUCUCUGGGGCCCGUCCCCACGGCCGUGCUCCCUCCAGGUGACGUCUGUCUGGCACACUGCACCUUCUUUCCCAUUCUCCGGCCCUCGAGGCUCCAGCUCAGGCCUCAAGAGGCCCGGCCAGAGCCGCUCCUGUACCUGCUACUAAAUGAAUUGCAGUGGGUGAAGUGGCGGCUGGGGACCCCACUGUCCUGACACCCCCGACAGGUCCUGUCCGACCCGGGCCUGGAAUGCCCCCCGCCUGUUGCGUCUCCUCCCUGCUGGCAGCCCUGCCUCGUCUCCCACCAGACUCGCUUGAGAUGCUCUUUCCACCUGGGACGGCCCCGGCCCCCCAGCCC